CUUGACUGGGAAUCGAACCAGCAGCCUUCCAGUGCAAGGGAUGACACCCAACCAGCUGAGCCACACUAGCCAGGACAACCCUAGUUGUUUUCUUAAAAGGAAAUUAGAUUUAUAUCCUUACCUUAUCAUUUAGAUAUCCAAUUUUCAGAAUGUAUUCCACAUUAGCUACUCCAUCUGCCAUUCUUAAGUCUCCUUGGGAGUCUCCCAGCAGAAUGAUGUUGCUGUUGUCUUUCAGUUGACUGAAAUACUCUGUGUUCUUCAAGGCACCAUCGUGUUUGUUAAAUACAUGAAUCAGAUCUCCUUUAAAUCCUUUGAGCACUCC